UGAAGACUGGAAUUGCUGUAAUGGCAGGUCAGCAUACUGCCGUGAAUACGUUCCCGGGCCCUUGUACACACCGCCCGUCACACCAUGAGAGUUGGAAAUACCCGAAGCCUGUGAGCUAACUUAAAGAGGCAGCAGUCGAAGGUAGAGCCAAUGAUUGGGGUGAAGUCGUAACAAGGUAAC
rnacentral:rRNA from 1 species